rnacentral:tRNA from 1 species
GGAAGGGUACCGAAGCGGUCACAACGGCACCGAUUCGAAAUCGGUUGAGGGCAUAACCGCCCUACGAGGGUUCGAAUCCCUCCCCUUCCGCCA